GAUGAACGCUGGCGGCGUGCCUAAUACAUGCAAGUCGAGCGAACAGACGAGGAGCUUGCUCCUCUGACGUUAGCGGCGGACGGGUGAGUAACACGUGGAUAACCUACCUAUAAGACUGGGAUAACUUCGGGAAACCGGAGCUAAUACCGGAUAAUAUAUUGAACCGCAUGGUUCAAUAGUGAAAGACGGUUUUGCUGUCACUUAUAGAUGGAUCCGCGCCGCAUUAGCUAGUUGGUAAGGUAACGGCUUACCAAGGCAACGAUGCGUAGCCGACCUGAGAGGGGGGUAGGCCGCACGAGAACGUGAACACCGACCCGGCGCCUAAGAGAGGGCGCAGUAGGGAAAUUUUCGCAAUGGGGGGAAAGCUUGCGGAACGAGCGCGAGUGGGAUGAAGAAGGUCUUCGGUCGGAAAAACCUUGUUAUAGGGGAAAACCAAUUUGGAAGGUAACUAAGCCGGAGUGACGGUAACGGAUAAAGAAGCCCCGGCUAACUACGUG
rnacentral:rRNA from 1 species